GAAGAUUUUUACUUUGGGUUUAUUUUUUUUUAUAAUAUAAAGUUAGAUCCCUGCUUUAGUUUUUUUUGUUAGUUUAUUUUAUAUAUUAUAUGUAUUUUAAUAAUUCAUUUGUAGUGAAUUAAUUUAUUAGUAAGGUUAUUCUUGAUGUAGUAAUGUUUAUAGUUCUAAGUCAAUUCGUGCCAGCACUUGCGGUUAUACGAAUGGGGUUAAAUAAAAAUUUUGGUAAAGAAAAAUUAAUUGUAUAAUUUUAUGAAUUAAAAUGAAUUAUUUUUAGGUAAAAUUAAGAAUAGUUUAAUUAGUAUUUUAUUAAUAUAAGAUGAACGUUUUAAAAUUAAAAGUAUAAACCUGGAUUAGAUACCCAGUUAUUUUUAAAGUAAAAUUAUUACCAGAGAAGUAUCAGUGAUCUAAAAAUUUAAGGGAUUUGGCGGUGUUUUAUUCCAAUUAGAGGAACUUGUCCUAUAAUCGAUAGUACACGAUAAGUUAACUUUUUUUUGUACACAGUUUGUAUAUCGCUGUUGUCAGAAAACUUUAAUAGAUAGUGUUUUCUUUUUGUAUUAUCUACAGGACAUCAAGUCAAGGUGCAGCACAUAAGAAAGGGUGAAUGAUGAGUUACAAUAAAUAUAUUUAUUAUGAAUUGAAAUAUGGAAAUAAUUAUGAAAGUGGAUUUAUUAGUAAAAUUUUAGUAUAAUUGGAAAUUUGAUUUUUGGCUCUAAAAUGUGUACAUAUCGCCCGUCAUUCUCAUUUUUAGUUGAGGUAAGUCGUAACAUAGUAGGUGUAUUGGAAAAUGUACCUGGAUUAGG
rnacentral:ncRNA from 1 species